UACGUAGGUGGCAAGCGUUGUCCGGAUUUACUGGGCGUAAAGAGCGCGCAGGCGGUUGUUUAAGUCGAAUGUGAAAGCCCCCGGCUCAACUGGGGAGGGUCAUUCGAUACUGAUCGACUUGAAGGCAGGAGAGGGAAGUGGAAUUCCGGGUGUAGUGGUGAAAUGCGUAGAUAUCCGGAGGAACACCAGUGGCGAAGGCGACUUCCUGGCCUGUUCUUGACGCUGAGGCGCGAAAGCUAGGGGAGCAAACGGG
rnacentral:rRNA from 1 species